UAAAGGCAGCUUUGCGGAUGAAGACUGUGAGCAGGAUGGAGCCUGUUCUCCUCAGCACUUUUAUCAGCUCCAAACACACACAGGAAUUCCGGUUUGGGAAUGACCGUCCCGAGUCCCUGCUUCCACAGGAAGAUGGAAUAAAAAGAACCUCUUCACCGACAAAGGCGUUUCAUUUCUCUUCAGUCGCUCAAAGGAACGCAAAGCCACCGGGCCCAUUCAACAUGUUUGACGGAAUCCACGUUUCGGUUUUACGAGCUUCGAAGAGCAACGGCUGUGGGGGUGAAGAUGCUAGCAGACACAGAUGAUGUGAAUCUCGGACUCUAAUGAGGAGUCUCUGCUUGAUUUUACAUUAAUGCCAGCUGAGGUCUGACCGAUGGCAGAAGAGGAGAACUGGCCUGCUUCACAGCUCAUUAUUACUUUUGGUACGCGCUAGGCCUGCCUCAAACUCGUACCGUGAGUAAUAAUGCACUGUGGCAGGCGAUAAGCUACCAGCACCAAGACUACAACCACAGAUUUGGAGUAAAGUAAAAAACAUGGAGAGAAACAACCACCAAAGUAUUUUAUACGUGAUUAGGCUGUAAUGCAUUGCUUUAAAUGAACGGAUGUAUGUAAAUUGACCGAUUUCUGCUGAAAUCCUGCUGAAAUCUGGAACGCACAGACUCUGUAGGUUUGAAUUCUGCUUCAGUUCCCGGUGAGUGCCAGCCGUAAGGUGGAGUAGUAAUGUUUUUCAGAAAGCUAUAGUAUAACUGUGUGAGCCUGGAGACGUUUAAUCAUGGGUUUAGAGAUUAUUUGAUUAGAACAAAAUGUGAAUAAAUGGUAAAUAAUAAACAGACAGGGUUUUUUUGGGUUUUUUGGGUUUCCAGGGUUUUUUUGGUUGUGUUGGACAGUUGUUUUUAAGCGGUAGGUUUGUUUGCCUUAACUUAAUGAUAGCUGCCAUUUAAAAUGUUGAAAAAACCUGUUUAAUAUUGUUUAUUGCAUAUGUUACUUUAUGUAAAUAAAUGUUUUCAG